CUUGGCACAGCAUUUGAGAGGUGUGUGGAUGACUCUAAGCCACUUUUGCUCUACCAAAAUUCUUGGGCUGUCUAUGGUCCUACCUGGAACCCAGGGUGCUGGCCACUAUUGGAGACAGGAUACUGGACUAGAUGGACCUUGGAUCUGAUCCAGUCUGACAAUUCCUAUGUUCUUGUGUAAAAGUGAAGGAAUAAGGAUAGUGUGAUUAGACUUAUCACCUCCUUUGAGUGUGCUCAGUUGUCUUAGUCAUUGUGUUACGGGGUUUUUCUUAAGCUAGGCUAGAUGGCAUAGAAAUCCCGAGAAACUACAGGUUUGAACCCCCUCCUGCAUCUGUCAUCGGGGCUUGACAGAAAACUGACACAUAGGUGAGAAUCACAUGGACACAGGAACAGAGCUGGAACAGGACACCAUGACAGCUGGGACUGACGAGAACACAGGAUACAACAGGAUGGGUCUUUAGGUGGAACAGAUAGUUCAGGAAUAUAAAAGAACUUGUUAACAACAGCAACGUGUGUACCAUGCAAGAUGCAACUGUGAUACAUCUCCAUAUUACCAGCUUUAUGAUCUUGCAGGACUUCCUUUUCCCAGAUGCAUUUGCAAAUGUUUGUUUUACAUUUAUACAAUCCAGUGAAAAGAAUGAUCCUGAAACAAAAUGAUGAAGUGCACCUAUCUAAGCAGUCAAUUGCAAAGGGGGAAUGGUUUAUACACAGAACAGUCUGUCCAGGAUGCUAUCAGUCCACACCAUCUGUAUUCAUUACAGCUAUUUAAUUAUUUUCUCAAAAACACAUACAAAUUAUUUCAAGGAGGGAAGAAUGUUUUAAUCAGGUCAUAAGUCAGGAAAUAUGAACUUUAUUAUUGAUUAAACAUAUGAAAAGGAUUUUUUCUCAGUAAAG